rnacentral:tRNA from 1 species
AUUUAAAUAGUUUAAUAUAAAAUAUUGAUUUGUGGUAUCAAUGAUAUGAAUUUCAUUUUAAAUC